UCCAUCCCUAACGUGUUUUUUAAAUCUUUUUUUUUUGUUAUUAUUUACUCCACUAAGUGGGAUUAUGAGCCCAAUAGUGGACGAGAUGCUGGAGAGAGAAGUGGAGAAUACAAAGGAAUAAUCAGCCGCUGCUGACCAUGCUGCAUUUCCAUUUCCACGGGACAUAAAGGGCUUUCUAUCCAGCGGCUCAAUCAUUAACCCGCAUUUUUUGCAUAAUAGUCCUUCAAUCUUUUGGCACAAGGGAUUCGUUUUCAUUCCAGGUUGCCAGGUAUUGCCACUGCCACGCUUGGCUUAUUCCUGGUAUGAACAAUGCAAUAUUAUUUUAAGAUUAGAAAGGACAACAACUUCAGAUCAAAGCCUGAAGUAUAUCAAGGGGAAAACCCCACCAGGGUGUGAAAAAUGGGAAGAAGGUUCAUCACCAAUAGGCAGAGAGGAGGACAUGCAGCGAGGAGCAGAGGAGAGGAGAGGAGAGGGAAUCCCUCUGCAUGAUGUGGAGCUGUCACUGCAGGAUUAUAUGGUUGGACAUGACCGUGCACUGAAACUUCUAAAACUGAAGAAAAGACGAGGAACAUCAAUGAUCAGGACUUUUACGCACAGGUUUUUAGACGCAUGAUUAUGUAAAGAAGACUGUUUGUUAAACUGAAUGUGUUAUCUUGUUCUCUCUUUGUUCUUUUCAAUUACAGAUGUGGAGCUGUCACUGCAGGAUUAUAUGCUUGGACAUGACCGUGCACUGGAAGAUAAUCCCACAUUGCCUUUCGCCACCGCACCUGAACUUUUCCCUGACCCGGGUAAAGGCAUAGAGAGUCGAGUGGGGAAGUUAUUUUGGGUUCAAAAACAAGAAGAUUGGAAACCAAAAAGGCCAUCAGCUGGUUACUUUUUUCACUUUUUGUUGCACUUUUUUCAGACUUUCCUUUUUACUCAAAAGUAGAAGUUGAUUGAUUAUGUUUUAAAUCUCAACUGUUUUCACAUAAAACAAAUAUUUCAGAGUUAUUUACACAAAUCAGGGCUCCUUAUCACUGUCAGCAAAGAGGAGUUAGAGGCGCAGACCUCUGGAUGUUGGCCAGACGGCGGUCCAUAUCUCCCCACAAUGUUGACACUCGGAGCUCUUAACAGCCAGGCUUGGGUUACCGAUACACUCAGGCGAAGAUAACUCUUUCUGCAAGGUUUACAUCGGCCAACAUCAAGGCUAAUGCGAAAUUCAACGCCUUAAGCCGACUUGGAGACAUCUCUCAUGCAGACGAGCUAUAGGACAACCUAAUUGUUUGCGUAAAGGUGAUUGUAAUAAAGCAGUUUUCAUGUUGAA